GAAUAUUGACCCGAACACAAAGUAGAAUAUUCGAGCAAGGACUAUGGGGGUCUAUGUUCGAUAUAAUUAUACAACAUGUUCGAUCUUACUACCUCCUUGACAAUACACGAACGAAUGUGUAUUAACUUACUAAGUAAGUUCAGUUCAAGUGUGCUUUUCUGCUUUUAAUGCUUUACUUUCAGUCAGUGCAACAGACAACUGCCUUCAGACUGCACAACGCACGCUUCCUACUUACAGAGUUACAAGGUUAUGUGCUAGAACAAGAUUCUAGAUCUAGAGACUAGAAUCUAGGAUCUCUGCUCAGAUCCGUUGUCACACAUUGACACUUUUUUGGACAUCCUGGACUGUAAAGAAGACCCGUUGGAUUCAGUCUAAUAUGGUCAUGGAGAAGAAAUAAAUCUCUAGUCAAGGUGUUUUCUUGAACGUUGCCACAGGAGGCCUAAAGUUGGACCACGACCUUCCCUGCUUUAGAACACCAUGGAUGUGAAGGUCUCCAUAGUACGAAUCGGAAACCUUCACCUUAUCCCCACUUCCAUCUAUACCAAUCCUUUUCACAGUAGAAAUACUGAACUCCCGUUUCUGUUUAACAAAACGCUGUGUCUCACUUUUAAAAUCGAAAGCCUGCCAGUCUCUCCCGUACUCAAAGACCAGGCCAUGCCUUCUAAGAAUACUAAUGUACUGGUCAGGCAGGGUAAUGGUCUCCAAACGUUUUAUAUCCUGGGCUACUCUCCCGAAGGCACGAUCAGCUGGGAGGUAGCUGUGACCUCGCACUCGGAAAGUGUACGAAAUAUCCGUUUGAGGGAAAAAAAUUUCCUGUCCGCCAGGAGCAUAGACAGAACAUUGAAGUUCUUAUUCUGCCCAUAGGCAGAGUCACUGAAUAAGCGAAGUUCACGCUUGGACGUAAUUUCCUGCUGGUGAAAUUGGACAAAAUGAUGGAGUGCGGAGGCGAUCAUAUUUGAGUCUUUGUGGUUCUCACACUCCAACCACGUAAAAAACAACCACAUCAUCCUUCUGCUGAGGGCCGUUUUGACCCUUGUGGCAAAUGACCCCAAAGACAUACAGAUGUAGCUGCCGACUGUAAUAUGCCGCACCUAUAGGAGUCUUCGGGAGCACCUGAUUUUCCAUCAUGUCAAAACAAAUUGACAUGGAGUCCUCGCUUACGGCAUUAAGCUCAUUAUAAAAUUUGCGAGCCCUUCUGCGAUGCAGAAUAUAUUCCGCAGCCAACUCAGUUCUCCGCUCUGUCUGAAGAUCUGCCUGCUUCCCUUGCUCCUUGUAACGCUCGCACGUAGCGCAUCUGUCUGUGUUGGGAUGGCCAAAUCCAAGAUUGAAGUCCCCCCUGAAGACCGUGUAGUACAGGGAAUAGGAGACCUGCAAAAGAAAAUGAAUAAAUAACCUUUAUUAAAACUCAUAACCAUGACCAUCAAAUCAAAUCAGUAGAGUCCUUUCUGCCACUGAGGAAGAAUGUUGUGUUUCAAUAAAGCAGAGUCU